AGCAGCCGCGGUAAUUCCAGCUCCAAUAGCGUAUAUUAAAGUUGUUGCAGUUAAAAAGCUCGUAGUUGAAUUUCGGGGUCGGCAGGUUGGUCGUGCCACUGGUAUGCACUGGCCUUGCUGAUUCCUCCCUCUUGAUGAACCGUAAUGCCAUUAAUUUGGUGUUGCGGGGAAUCAGGACUGUUACUUUGAAAAAAUUAGAGUGUUUAAAGCAGGCAAGCGCUUGAAUACAUUAGCAUGGAAUAAUGAAAUAGGACGUUUGAUCCUAUUUUGUUGGUUUCUAGGAUUGACGUAAUGAUUAAUAGGGAUAGUUGGGGGCAUUAGUAUUCAAUUGUCAGAGGUGAAAUUCUUGGAUUUAUUGAAGACUAACUACUGCGAAAGCAUUUGCCAAGGAUGUUUUCAUUAAUCAAGAACGAAAGUUAGGGGAUCGAAGACGAUCAGAUACCGUCGUAGUCUUAACCAUAAACUAUGCCGACUAGGGAUCGGAUGAUGUUAAUUUUUAAUGACUCAUUC
rnacentral:rRNA from 1 species